GUUGAUCCUGCCAGUAGUCAUAUGCUUGUCUCAAAGAUUAAGCCAUGCAUGUCUCAGUACAAGCCGAAUUAAGGUGAAACCGCGAAAGGCUCAUUAAAUCAGUUAUGGUUCCUUAGAUCGUACCCACAUUUACUUGGAUAACUGUGGUAAUUCUAGAGCUAAUACAUGCAAACAGAGCUCCGACCGGAGACGGAAGGAGCGCUUUUAUUAGAUCAAAACUAAUCGGCGGCGGGUUCGCCCGUUCGUCGUACACCUUGGUGAAUCUGAAUAACUUUCUGCUGAUCGCAUGGUCUCGCACCGGCGACGCAUCUUUCAAAUGUCUGCCUUAUCAACUGUCGAUGGUAGGUUCUGCGCCUACCAUGGUUGUAACGGGUAACGGGGAAUCAGGGUUCGAUUCCGGAGAGGGAGCCUGAGAAACGGCUACCACAUCCAAGGAAGGCAGCAGGCGCGCAAAUUACCCACUCCCGGCACGGGGAGGUAGUGACGAAAAAUAACGAUACGGGACUCAUCCGAGGCCCCGUAAUCGGAAUGAGUACACUCUAAACCCUUUAACGAGGAUCAAUUGGAGGGCAAGUCUGGUGCCAGCAGCCGCGGUAAUUCCAGCUCCAAUAGCGUAUAUUAAAGUGU
rnacentral:rRNA from 1 species